rnacentral:rRNA from 1 species
UACGAAGGGGGCGAGCGUUGUUCGGAUUUACUGGGCGUAAAGGGCGCGCAGGCGGCUUUGUUUGUCAGGCGUGAAAGCCCCGGGCUUAACCUGGGAACUGCGUUUGAUACGGCAGGGCUAGAGUUCGGGAGAGGAGAGUGGAAUUCCCAGUGUAGAGGUGAAAUUCGUAGAUAUUGGGAAGAACACCGGUGGCGAAGGCGGCGAGCUGGUCCAUUACUGACGCUGAGGCGCGAAAGCGUGGGGAGCAAACAGG